rnacentral:rRNA from 1 species
UACGUAGGGUGCGAGCGUUAAUCGGAAUUACUGGGCGUAAAGCGUGCGCAGGCGGUUUUGUAAGUCUGUCGUGAAAUCCCCGGGCUUAACCUGGGAAUGGCGAUGGAGACUGCAAGGCUAGAGUUUGGCAGAGGGGGGUAGAAUUCCACGUGUAGCAGUGAAAUGCGUAGAGAUGUGGAGGAACCCCGAUGGCGAAGGCAGCCCCCUGGGUCAAGACUGACGCUCAUGCACGAAAGCGUGGGGAGCAAACAGG